AUUGAACGCUGGCGGCAGGCCUAACACAUGCAAGUCGAACGAGUGGCGGACGGGUGAGCAAUGUCUGUGCAACUGCCUGAUGGAGGGGGAUAACUACUGAAAACGGUUGCUAAUACCGCAUAACAUCCUAUGUUCACAGAUUGGAUUAGCUAGUAGGUGGGGCAAGGGCUCACCUAGGCGACGAGCCCUAGCUAGUCUGAGAGGAUGACCAUCCACCAGGGAACGGAGACACGGUCCAGACGCCUACGGGAGGCAGCAGUGGGGAAGAGUGGGCAAUGGGCGCAAGUCGGAUGCAGCCAUGCCGCGUGUAUGAAGAAGGCUUUCGGGUUGUAAAGUACUUUCGGCGGGGAGGCGUUACCCGCAGAAGAAGCAACGGCUAACUCCGGGCCAGCCGCCGCGGUAAUAC
rnacentral:rRNA from 1 species